rnacentral:rRNA from 1 species
ACAUGCUAAUAGCAUAGCAUUAAUGUAUUGGAUCCCAUUAGAACUCCACAAUUAAGCAUGCUUAGGCUAGAGUAGUACUCGGAUGGGUGACCACUCGGGAAGUCCUAGCAUUUUACAUUCC